AACAGGUCAGCUGAAAUCCCUUGUUUCUAGAAACUCCUCUCCAACUACAUAAUCUAUGGUGCAAAUUCCGAAAACCACUGGCUGCUAACAUGCAUUAAUCAACAAUUACUAAUUAGUAGAAUCAAGACUAAACCUCUUUCUUGUUCUCGUGCAGAGAAAGGAUCGAUGACCCCAAGACGAUGGUGUUCCAAACUUCAUUAUUUCACCGGCUUGGCCGGAAGAAGUCAGCAUCAUGGACAAAACCUCAUGAGAUCAGUGCAUCACACAUGGGAGUAUUAGACAUUGGAAAGAUGUGAUUGAAAGUAUGGAGUCUGCGAGCAAGUGUUUAUCGAAUUCUGGGACCAUUUGUUUUGAAGAUUUGACUGCGGAAAUCAUGUUUGAUGUAUUAUUACCACAUUUGGAUGGACAAG
rnacentral:lncRNA from 1 species